CCUACGGGUAGCAGCAGUAGGGAAUUUUCGGCAAUGGGGGGAACCCUGACCGAGCAACGCCGCGUGAGCGAAGAAGUUAUUCGGAAUGUAAAGUUCUUUUAACAGGGAAGAAAGGGAAAUUUGACGGUACCGGAAGAAUGUGCCCCGGCUAACAACGUGCCAGCAGCCGCUGUAAUAAGCAGGGGUCGAGCGUUAUCUGCAAUCAUUGGGCGUAAAGGGUGCGUAGAUGGCAUAGUAAGUCUGUGGUAAAAAUGCUGGGCUCAACCCAGUAGGGCAAAAGAUACUGGAAAGCUAGAGUAUGACAGAGGCAAGUGGAACUAGAUGUGUAGCGGUAAAAUGCGUAAAUAUAUGUAAGAACACCAGUGGCGAAGGCGGCUUGCUGGGUCGAUACUGACAUUGAGGCACGAAAGCGUGGGGAGCAAACAGGAUUAGAUACCCCAGUAGUC
rnacentral:rRNA from 1 species